rnacentral:rRNA from 1 species
UACGUAGGUGGCAAGCGUUGUCCGGAAUUAUUGGGCGUAAAGCGCGCGCAGGCGGUCCUUUAAGUCUGAUGUGAAAGCCCACGGCUCAACCGUGGAGGGUCAUUGGAAACUGGGGGACUUGAGUGCAGGAGAGGAGAGUGGAAUUCCUGGUGUAGCGGUGAAAUGCGCAGAUAUCAGGAAGAACACCUAUGGCGAAGGCAGCUCUCUGGGACGGUACUGACGCUGAGACGCGAAAGCGUGGGGAGCGAACAGG